rnacentral:rRNA from 1 species
GACAGAGGGGGCAAGCGUUGCUCGGAAUUACUGGGCGUAAAGGGCGCGUAGGCGGCCUGCUAAGUCGGAUGUGAAAUCCCUCGGCUCAACCGAGGAACUGCAUCCGAUACUGGCGGGCUUGAAUCCGGGAGAGGGAUGUGGAAUUCCAGGUGUAGCGGUGAAAUGCGUAGAUAUCUGGAGGAACACCGGUGGCGAAGGCGGCAUCCUGGACCGGUAUUGACGCUGAGGCGCGAAAGCUAGGGGAGCAAACGGG